rnacentral:rRNA from 1 species
AGUGAACGCUGGCGGUAGGCCUAACACAUGCAAGUCGAACGGCAGCACAGUAAGAGCUUGCUCUUACGGGUGGCGAGUGGCGGACGGGUGAGGAAUACAUCGUAAUCUACUUUUUCGUGGGGGAUAACGUAGGGAAACUUACGCUAAUACCGCAUACGACCUACGGGUGAAAGCAGGGGAUCUUCGGACCUUGCGCGAUUGAAUGAGCCGAUGUCGGAUUAGCUAGUUGGCGGGUUAAAGGCCCACCAAGUCGACGAUCCGUAGCUGGUCUGAGAGGAUGAUCAGCCACACUGGAACUGAGACACGGUCCAGACUCCUACGGGAGGGAGCAGUGGGGAAUAUUGGACAAUGGGCGCAAGCCUGAUCCAGCCAUACCGCGUGGGUGAAGAGGGCCUUCGGGUUGUAAAGCCCUUUUGUUGGGAAAGAAAAGCAGCAGGUUAAUACCACGCUGUUCUGACGGUACCCAAAGAAUAAGCACCGGCUAACUUCGUG